rnacentral:lncRNA from 1 species
UUCUCUGAUGGAGGUGGGGGAGCAUGUACUGUCUCUGCUUCCUCAACCUUAAAAGGUUCAUUGACUUUAUUAGAAUCUUUACAAUCAGUAGUUUUGUUAGAUUCAAUGGAUAAAAAUCGUCCAUUUCUUGAGGCGGCGAUAUUUCUGUUUCAAUAAGAAAGAAUAAGCUAAAUGAUAUAGAAAAGCAUACCAGGAACAGGCUACAAUUGAAUAGGGAAAAGGAAAAGGAAAAGGAGCAAAAUAAACAAAAAAAAAGUAACAUGAUUGAAGCAUCUCAAGGUGAUAAGAACCAAAAACCAAUCUAUUCAAUAAAACCAACAAUUUAAUUGAUAAUUUAUAUUUCUCAAUCCUGAGUUGAUGCAUGCUGCCAACACGUGCAUCUCUGUCAACAAUAUCUGCCCUGUACUUUCUCUUCCAACUUGGCACCAUCUAGAUUCCUCGAUGGAUAUACAAAAGUGUCAUUCCUUUCAACAUGACCAGGAAUAACUCAACUGGCCAAACCAUUUGUGAUGGCAUAUUAAAAGAGAGAUUAUUUAAUUUAGUUUCCAAUUUUGAUGCUUAUCGUAGAAAACAUAAUUAGGUAUGCUUUCAUAGAUUUUAUAGUAUUUUUUUUUUACUUCAAUCAGGACUAGUUUAAACCAAAUGGGGCUUAUGCAAUGUAAUUCAUACAACUUUGAUGAUGAAUAAAGAUACUCUCUCUCUUUAAAUUCCUUAAAAAAAAAAAAAAUGUCAUCCAUUCUCUGUUAGCAUUUUAGUAGGAGUUGAAAGGCCAGGGGAUACGCACCACUGAAGUUACUCCAUUCAGUGCAUCCUUCCACGAGUCAGUUGAAAGAAGAUCUCCUGAAAGUGAAAAAAGGAAAUUGAAAUGAUGACAGGUUUCAGUUAUCUCUUAUCAUAAAAGAACAAAAUAACAAAGGAUUGCAACUAGCAGACCUUGAUGCCAAGACACGCUGCUAGCCCAAGGUUCUUGUAUGGAUGACCUACCCGAUCUAAAAAAGGCAAAAACCAGUUCUCAAGCAUCAAAAUGGAAGCAAACCAUAUUCACACAGCACAGCUAACAGCCAGAGGCAAUAAAUAAUUUACAAAAAAUGAAUUACAAAAUAAUUACUUCUGGAAAUACUGAUACGUGCAAACAAAAAAUGUCAGUGAACAUAAGGUAUUCUAUCCUUUGAGCAGGAAACUUAUGUUCUCUAUUUCAAAUUAUACCUAUCGGCCUUUGGAACACAAUUUCUAUGUCCCACUUGUUGAGACUUGGUAGUUGGUACCCAUGUAUGGGUGCAGAAGAAGAAGAAAGAAACCACUUUAUUCAUUGGUAUAGUUACAUGUCACUAAAUAGAGAAGAUAAGGCAACAGCCAUAUGGGUUCAUUCAAUGUUUCACCCAACACACAUCCUUGAAGGAUACAAUGACCUCAUGGAUCAUGGUUUUUGGUUUUUGUUAAAAUUAAGGUGUAACCCGAAUUCUAUGUUGAAGAUGAUAGGGAAUUCUAAUUAAGGUCGAUAUUAAGAGGAACCCUGUUUGUUGGAAUGUUUUUGAAAUACUAUUUGAAGUCUAUUUGGCAAAUUCUAGUUGAAGUUCUAUUUGGAAGCUCAAUUGGGAGUUGAAAUUUGUGUUGGACUUGAAGAUAUCAAGAUAUGGACCAGGAAGGACUUUUGGCGCAAUUAUGCUCGCCUUGCUGGCACCAGCCUAGUUCCAUCUGGAUGCUCGAGCAUCUGGGCAGCACCCGCCAGGUGCUUGUGCGCCAUAGUCAUUCAGUUCAAGCCUAUUUUCGAGUUUUGAUGCUUCCUUUCCAUCCAUAAUUCUACUUUUUGGGUUUGAAACUUCCCUUAUAUAUAUUUAGCAGUUCACUGUAUUUUAGAAGAAGUUAAGACAAAAAACACGAUCAUUCUAAUCCAUUUUUUAGUGAAAUUUCAUUCCUCUGUCAACUAUUUUAUUCAUGAGUUUGUGAUUAAUUACUCCAUAUUGUGUCAUAUUAUUUUCUUGACUAUUAUCACAACAAAUUGGUGUCAGAAUCAUCCAAUAUUUUUUUUGAUGUUAUAACAGUUUUGAAAAUAUAUUCUUCAGUAACUGGAAUAUUUCCUCAUGUUAAUUCCAAAAAAUAUAUAUAUAUAUAAUAAUAAUAAUAAAAAAAAAAUAAAAAAUAAUAAAAAAUUGAAAAUAGCAUCUACUCAUUCCUUGAGCCAGAGCAAAAGGUAAACAUUCAAUGAGAAGGUUAUAUUCAAAACAUAAAUGAGCAAUCAGAUAGCCAGAAGAAUUUGAUAGGGAUAAACACCAAGUUGACAGAUUCAUUAAACUAUGUGCAGUCAGAUUAUAAUUAUAAAAAAGGAUAAUCAGAUAAAUUGCAAAAAGAGACAAAUACCUGCUGAGACUAGCAACAGCUAAACCACGAUCUAUAGCUUCCUUGCAAACAUGUGAACCGACAAAUCCAUUUCCCCCCAGGAUAAGUAACUGAAUUAGAAGCAUAAGAAAUACUAGUUACCAUUCUGAGGACAAAUAGAAAAUUACAAACGUAAUUUAUGCUACAGUUACAGAAUACCUUCUCUGAUGGAGGUGGGGGAGCAUGUACUGUCUCUGCUUCCUCAACCUUAAAAGGUUCAUUGACUUUAUUAGAAUCUUUACAAUCAGUAGUUUUGUUAGAUUCAAUGGAUAAAAAUCGUCCAUUUCUUGAGGCGGCGAUAUUUCUGUUUCAAUAAGAAAGAAUAAGCUAAAUGAUAUAGAAAAGCAUACCAGGAACAGGCUACAAUUGAAUAGGGAAAAGGAAAAGGAAAAGGAGCAAAAUAAACAAAAAAAAAGUAACAUGAUUGAAGCAUCUCAAGGUGAUAAGAACCAAAAACC